ensembl:lncRNA
UUUAAAAAACUGGUUGCUUUUCCUCGACAUUUUGCUGCGACGUUUCAAAGAGCCGGAAAGUAAAUAAACGGCAGACAGAAAUGAGGCAGGUCGAAUCGUCUUGCGUUUCACGCAUGCGCAGUGCUGGAACGUAAGCGUUUUCGGCCGUUUCAAUGUGGACGCACAACUCUGUGAAAACGACUGAAAACGAUAGUGUGGACACGGAGCGUUUUCAGACAAAAACGCCGUUUUCAAAUUUAUCCGGGCUAGUGUGGACGUAAGAUCACAGGCUGUUCUAUUGACAUCACCAGUCCUCACACUUCAAAGCACAAAGCGUGUAAUGUCAUAGUAACGCAUUCUGCGAUAGGAGGUCAUAUAUAGGAGUGAACCUGACAUUCAUACAGCGUGAACUGGCUGCCUGCCCUCACGUCUGCAGUGCUGCCGUCUCCUGUAACCCUGCAUAUUACCAAGUUGCCUUUCCCCACCUGUAUCCAGUCAUCACACUUCAAAGCACAAAGCGUGUGAUGUCACAGUAACGCAUUCUGUGAUAGGAGGUCAUAUAUAGGAGUGAACCUGACACUCACACAGCCUGAACUGGCUGCCUGUCCUCACGUCUGCAGUGCUGCCAUCUCCUGUAACCCUGCAUGUUUCUAAGCUGCCUAUCCUCACCUGUGCAGUGCUGCUGUCUCCGGUUACCCUGAAAGUUUCUAAGUUGCAUAUCCCCACCUGUAUAGGAGUGAAAUUGACGCUCACACACCCUGAACUGGCUACCUGUCCUCACCUGUGCAGUGCUACCGUCUCCUGUCACCCUGCAUGUAUCCAACUUUAGUUUUCUCCGUUUUUAUGAUGUUCUCGUAAUUUUUAUCCUCAGAUGAGGUUUGAAGUGUCUGUGUGGUGCAGCUGGCCUGGUCUGUCUCUAUACAGUCGAGGCUGCACCCACCUAUA